GUCUGCCGGCUCAGUAGCAGCUGCCCAGGCAGUUCCAGGGGCGGGUGGAGAACGAUCAGGAUUUCUGCCGCAAACGGCGCGAUGUCUUGCUGGGUUAAUAUCCCAGCAGGUGGACUGAUGGGACCACGUGUAUCCAGGAGAACUGGGGGGAGCGUCCAGGUGCAAACUGCCGAUGGGGCAACAGCUGAUGUCUCAUUCCCUGGGGCAUCCUCUCUCCUUCCGAGUGUUAAAGUGGAGACAUUUACAAUACCUGCCUCAUGGGAUCCUUGUGCAGAUAAAUGAACUGAUUCAUGUUGAUGAGAAAAAAUUAUUCUGACACUGGUUAAAACGGUAAGGAAGAGUUUAUUCAAGAAUAUUGCAAUUGGGAUAUUGCAAGAGGGGAGAGAGGUCAAGUUCAGCUCCAAGAAGACAGCAAGAACAAGUGGGGAUUUCUAGCCAAGCAGCAGAGUAAGGGGUCAGUGGAUGGAAAAUUACUAAGAGGAGGCAAGAAGAGGGGAAUUCUUGCUUAACUGACCCAACAGGAUUCUUGCUAAAGGCAGGCCAGGGACUUAGACAUCAAAGGUGGGGGGUGAGAAACUUGAUCAGAGAUCAAAGGUGGGGGAUUCUCACUAAGCCGACUUAGCAAGAUUCUUGCUAAAACUGGGCAGUGCAGACCUACCAAGGACAGGAGGGACAUAGAAGGCCAAGGUCGAGGCCUAGUCAAGAAGAGGGCUCAGAGGAGCCUACUAAGGUUUGGUCAAGGAUACAGUCUUUGUCAAGGUAAAGUGCCCAGAACAGUGCCUGGCAGUCAGUAAAUGGGGACUACACAUAAGAUAUUGUUAUCAUCAGCACACAAGAGGCGAGCUGCUUGGAGCCUGCAUGAGUCAACAUACCAGAAGCUUUAGAACAAAUGUAGCUGAAAAGCAAGCAGAAAACCUAUAGGACACACCUGUCUCCAGAAGGAAGAAGACUGGAGAAGAAAAAGAUUCUAUCAACACACUGUCUGCCCCUCGGCUGUGAAUGGAAGGAAUUCAGGAACAAAAGGAGGGGAGAAACCGCGUGGAAACAUGCCAAACUGGGUGUGUCCUGAGACCAUAUCAACGUGCUCUUCGUCUCACCCAUGCUCUCUCCAGGAACAAGAAAGGAUUCUUCUGGAUGGGCGAGGAGGGGACUUUGGAAGGCCCGCCCGCCAGUUUAAUGGCCCGUUUGGAAACACAGCCCUCCAGACCAGGGGCCAGAGCAGCACAGCAUCUGCCGUUGUCAUUGAGGGUUGGUCCGCGUUAGAGACGUGCCAAAAGGCCACAUCUAGUUUGACUUUUCAGGAUUUAGAGCACAGAGGACUAGCUGAAGACCAGAGCGACAGGAGUCUGAGUCCUGGCUUUGUCCACUUACUGGUUGAGCUUGGGCAAGUCGCUUUGCCUCUCUGUGCCUCAGUUUCCUCAUCUGUAAAAUGUGGAUAAUGAGAUCUUCCUCAAAGGGUUGAUCGGAUUGUGAAUACACGAAAACCAUUUAGAAUGGUGCCUGGUGUACAGUAAGCACUAAAUCAGGGUUGACUACUAUUUUUAUUAUUAAUUAUGAGUUAACUAUUGUUAUCAGCAGAGUACCUAGAAAAGAGUAAUUCCUCAAUAAGUGGUGGAUAUUAUAACAUUAUUAUAUUCUUAUUUAUCAAUCUCCUUCUAAGAAAUAUUCCCCAUCCACCCCAGAUCCUAGAGGUGUUUAAUCCAAGCCUUAGGUGUGUAAGAAAACCGUGCUCACCUUGUAAGGAGAAAAUGCACAACACCUUCUGGGAUUAGAGUGACAUUUAUUGAGUCCUUAUUUUGUGGCGGACAGCGUGAAAAGUGCUUCAUAAUAAAUGCUCACAAAAACC